rnacentral:rRNA from 1 species
AACGCCAAGAACCUUACCAGGUCUUGACACCCUGCUGACCGGUGAGUAAUGUCACCUUUCCUUCGGGACAGCAGAGACAGGUGGUGCAUGGUUGCCGUCAGCUCGUGUCGUGAGAUGUUGGGUUAAGUCCCGCAACGAGCGCAACCCUUAUUGUCAGUAGCCAGCAUUAUGGAUGGGCACUCUGAUGAGACUGCCAGGGAUAACCUGGAGGAAGGUGGGGAUGACGUCAAAUCAUCAUGCCCCUUAUGACUUGGGCUACACACGUGCUACAAUGGCGUAAACAAAGGGAAGCGAGCCCGCGAGGGGGAGCAAAUCCCAAAAAUAACGUCCCAGUUCGGAUUGUAAUCUGCAACCCGACUACAUGAAGCUGGAAUCGCUAGUAAUCGCGGAUCAGCAUGCCGCGGUGAAUACGUUCCCGGGCCUUGUACACACC